CCAAAUUUAAAAGGUGUCUAGUUUACUAGAUGCCUGGGUAUUGAAAUAUAUACCACAUCUACCUUGUGUGCAAUGUAAAUUGUAUUGAUAGAUUAUUCAUCUGGGUUUUUUUACUUGGGUGGGUUCUCUAUAUAAACAUUUUAAGUUUUCUAAGUCUGAAUAGUUUUUUUACAUAUUGAUAUUUUGCUUUCAGUAAAAUAUUUAAAAUUGUUAAAA
rnacentral:misc_RNA from 1 species